CUAACAUUCACAUAUAAGCUUUUACUUCCAAAAUUUUAUCCCAACUUUGCCAUCGUCAUGCAGUGCGAACAUGUAAGAUAUUUAGUCAAAGGAAAUUGUCAAGAAUGUUCGUUAGCGCGGGUUCGGAGCUAUAAGACAUAGAUGCCAAGGUUGUGUUUUGUCCAUGCGUUAGAUGAACACACUGCAGCUACCGUAGGGGGUUCCGGGAACAUCCCCCCCGAAAAAAUUUUGAAAUUUGGGUCUCGGAAACGGCAUUUCCAGCGUUCUGAGAAUAUAUUUGGGUGUUAUUUUUGGUUCUCAAAAAC